CAGCCGCCGCGGUAAAACGGAGGGUGCAAGCGUUAAUCGGAAUUACUGGGCGUAAAGCGCACGCAGGCGGUCUGUCAAGUCAGAUGUGAAAUCCCCGAGCUUAACUUGGGAACUGCAUUUGAAACUGGCAAGCUAGAGUCUUGUAGAGGGGGGUAGAAUUCCAGGUGUAGCGGUGAAAUGCGUAGAGAUCUGGAGGAAUACCGGUGGCGAAGGCGGCCCCCUGGACAAAGACUGACGCUCAGGUGCGAAAGCGUGGGGAGCAAACAGGAUUAGAUACCCCAGUAGUCCCUGUCUCUUAUAC
rnacentral:rRNA from 1 species